GACGAACGCUGGCGGCGUGCUUAACACAUGCAAGUCGAACGGAAAGGCCCUGCUUUUGUGGGGGCGUGGGAGGGGAACGGGGGAAUUAAGCCUUGGGUACCCGACCCUUACUUUUGGCAGACCUUAAGAAAAGGGGGGCUAAUACGGAAAAGAGGAUCUGCCUGAAGGUGGGGGGUGGGAAGGUUAGGCCGUUGGGGAGGGAACCGCGGGUUAACAGAUUGUUGGGGGGGUAGUGGGUUACCAAGGCCUUGAAGGGUUGGCCGGCUGGGAGGGUAACCCGCCACAUUGGGACUGUGAUACGGCCCAGACUCCUACGGGAGGCAGCAGUGGGGAAUAUUGCCCAAUGGGCGGAAGCCUGAUGCAGAAACGCCGCGUGCGGGAUGACGGCCUUCGGGUUGUAAACCGCUUUCGCCUGUGACGAAGCGUGAGUGACGGUAAUGGGUAAAGAAGCACCGGCUAACUACGUG
rnacentral:rRNA from 1 species